AGAUUGAACGCUGGCGGCAGGCCUAACACAUGCAAGUCGAGCGGCAGCACGGGUACUUGUACCUGGUGGCGAGCGGCGGACGGGUGAGUAAUGCCUAGGAAUCUGCCUGGUAGUGGGGGACUAACGCUCGGAAACGGACGCUAAUACCGCAGUACGUCCUACGGGAGAAAGCAGGGGACCUUCGGGCCUUGCGCUAUCAGAUGAGCCUAGGUCGGAUUAGCUAGUUGGUGAGGUAAUGGCUCACCAAGGCGACGAUCCGUAACUGGUCUGAGAGGAUGAUCAGUCACACUGGAACUGAGACACGGUCCAGACUCCGUAGGGAGGCAGCAGGUGGGAAUAGUUGGACAAGUGGGACGAAACGCCUAGAUCCGAGCCAGUCGCCGUGUUCGUGUGAAGUA
rnacentral:rRNA from 1 species